UACGGAGGGGGCUAGCGUUGUUCGGAAUUACUGGGCGUAAAGCGCACGUAGGCGGCUUUGUAAGUUAGAGGUGAAAGCCCGGAGCUCAACUCCGGAAUUGCCUUUAAGACUGCAUCGCUAGAAUUGUGGAGAGGUGAGUGGAAUUCCGAGUGUAGAGGUGAAAUUCGUAGAUAUUCGCAAGAACACCAGUGGCGAAGGCGGCUCACUGGCCCGAUACUGACGCUGAGGUGCGAAAGCGUGGGGAGCAAACAGG
rnacentral:rRNA from 1 species